AAACUAGAUUAGAUACCCUAGUAUGCUUAGCCGUAAACCUAAAUAAUUAAUAAACAAAAUUAUUCGCCAGAGUACUACAAGCAACAGCUUAAAACUCAAAGGACUUGGCGGUGCUUUAUAUCCCUCUAGAGGAGCCUGUUCUAUAAUCGAUAAACCCCGAUAAACCUCACCACUUCUUGCUAAUUCAACUUAUAUACCGCCAUCCUCAGCAAACCCUGUCAAGGCCUCAAAGUAAGCAAAAACACAUACAUAAAGACGUUAGGUCAAGGUGUAGUCUAUGAAGUGGAAAGAAAUGGGCUACAUUUUCUAACAUAAGAACAACAUCCCAACAGAAGCCUUUAUGAAACUAAAAGCCAAAGGAGGAUUUAGCAGUAAAUCAAGAAUAGAGAGCUUAAUUGAAUUGGGCCAUGAAGCACGCACACAUCGCCCGUCGCUCUU
rnacentral:rRNA from 1 species